UUCCUUUCGUUUACUUAUUUACAUGUUUCUUUGCGAACUUAGUUAAAAUCCCUAACUAAGUCGCCUAAAAACUAGUUUUGCAUAAACACUAAAAUAUCACUAAAAUUGCUUUUCUUUGCAGAAAUCAACUUUUUUCCAAAGUUAGUCAAAGACAAUUUUCAAACAGUCCGGAUAACCGCAAGUUAGCGGAUGUUUUAUGUGCCUAACACCUUCC
rnacentral:lncRNA from 1 species